rnacentral:rRNA from 1 species
CCUACGGGAGGCUGCAGUGGGGAAUAUUGGGCAAUGGAGGAAACUCUGACCCAGCAACGCCGCGUGAAUGAUGAAGGUCUUCGGAUUGUAAAGUUCUUUUCUAAGGGAAGAAGAAAGUGACGGUACCUUAGGAAUAAGACUCGGCUAACUACGUGCCAGCAGCCGCGGUAAUACGUAGGAGGCAAGCGUUAUCCGGAAUGACUGGGCGUAAAGGGUGCGUAGGUGGUGUGAUAAGUUGGUAGCGUAACUCCGAGGCUCAACCUCGGCACUACUACCAAAACUGUCGGACUUGAGUGCAGGAGGGGCAACUGGAAGUCCUAGUGUAGCGGUGGAAUGCGUAGAUAUUAGGAGGAACACCAGUGGCGAAGGCGAGUUGCUGGACUGUAACUGACACUGAGGCACGAAAGCGUGGGGAGCAAACAGGAUUAGAUACCCGGGUAGUC